UGGGGAAUUUUGGGCAAUGGGCGCAAGCCUGACCCAGCAACGCCGCGUGAGGGAUGAAGGCCUUCGGGUCGUAAACCUCUGUCGGGAGGGAAGAAUGGCGGUCGUUCGAAUAGGGCGGCCGUUUGACGGUACCUCCAAAGGAAGCCCCGGCUAACUCCGUGCCAGCAGCCGCGGUAAUACGGAGGGUGCAAGCGUUGUUCGGAAUUACUGGGCGUAAAGCGCGUGUAGGCGGUCUGGAUAGUCGGGUGUGAAAUCCCGGGGCCCAACCCCGGAACUGCAUUCGAAACUGCCAGGCUAGAGUCCCGGAGAGGAUGGCGGAAUUCCCGGUGUAGAGGUGAAAUUCGUAGAUAUCGGGAGGAACACCAGUGGCGAAGGCGGCCAUCUGGACGGUGACUGACGCUGAGACGCGAAAGCGUGGGGAGCAAACAGGAUUAGAUACCCCCGUAGUCC
rnacentral:rRNA from 1 species